rnacentral:rRNA from 1 species
CCUUAAAUCGCCCUUGUGCCAGCCGCCGCGGUAAUACGGAGGCUGCAAGCGUUAAUCGGAAUUACUGGGCGUAAAGCGCACGCAGGCGGUCUGUCAAGUCGGAUGUGAAAUCCCCGGGCUCAACCUGGGAACUGCAUUCGAAACUGGCAGGCUAGAGUCUUGUAGAGGGGGGUAGAAUUCCAGGUGUAGCGGUGAAAUGCGUAGAGAUCUGGAGGAAUACCGGUGGCGAAGGCGGCCCCCUGGACAAAGACUGACGCUCAGGUGCGAAAGCGUGGGGAGCAAACAGGAUUAGAUACCCUGGUAGUCCACGCCGUAAACGAUGUCGACUUGGAGGUUGUUCCCUUGAGGAGUGGCUUCCGGAGCUAACGCGUUAAGUCGACCGCCUGGGGAGUACGGCCGCAAGGUUAAAACUCAAAUGAAUUGACGGGGGCCCGCACAAGCGGUGGAGCAUGUGGUUUAAUUCGAUGCAACGCGAAGAACCUUACCUACUCUUGACAUCCACGGAAUUUAGCAGAGAUGCUUUAGUGCCUUCGGGAACCGUGAGACAGGUGCUGCAUGGCUGUCGUCAGCUCGUGUUGUGAAAUGUUGGGUUAAGUCCCGCAACGAGCGCAACCCUUAUCCUUUGUUGCCAGCGGUUCGGCCGG